ensembl:rRNA 5S_rRNA 5S ribosomal RNA
GCCCCCAGUCACCAUAGCAGCCUGAGGGUGCCCCAGCCCAUAAGCUAAGCGGGGUUGAACCUGGCUGGUGUUUGGAUGGGGGAUCACAUGGAAAGACCGGGCCUGGAGACU